CCUACGGGGGGCUGCAGUCGAGGAUCUUCGGCAAUGGGGGCAACCCUGACCGAGCGACGCCGCGUGCGCGACGAAGGCCUUCGGGUUGUAAAGCGCUGUCGAGGGGGAGAAAGCCCCGAAAGGGGUUGAUCUAGCCCUGGAGGAAGCUCGGGCUAAGUUCGUGCCAGCAGCCGCGGUAAGACGAACCGAGCGAACGUUGUUCGGAAUCACUGGCCUUAAAGGGCGCGAGGGCGGGCGGCCGCGUCCGGGGGAAAGCCCACGGCUCGACCGUGGAACGGCCGCGGGUACGGGUGGCCUGGAGGGGGGGAGGGGCGUGCGGAACUGUGCGUGGAGCGGUGAAAUGCGUUGAUAUGCACAGGAACUCCGGUGGCGAAGGCGGCACGCUGGACCCUCCCUGACGCUGAGGCGCGAAAGCCAGGGGAGCGAACGGGAUUAGAUACCCCAGUAGUC
rnacentral:rRNA from 1 species